AAGUCGUAACAAGGUUUCCGUAGGUGAACCUGCGGAAGGAUCAUUACAAUACGUUACCACGUAUAAACCCAAUGGUUGAACUGUUUGCGUCCGAUAGGAAAUGUUUUGGUGGUGGCCGGCGGCUUGGAGGUUGGAAUCACUUGAAAAUCAAAACACAUUCGAGAAAUCGGUGGUUUUGAGGUGAUCAAAAGUGCCUCGGCCGGUCGUUCUGUUUUGCUUGAUUUGGUUCGAGUAGACAGAAGCCCUUUCCUAGUUCGCGCAUUGAAUUUUCCAAUUUCAAACACUUUUGCAUCGCCUUUUUUGUCUUUUUUUAACCCAUUUCACCUUUGAUGAUUAACAAUCAACGAACUAAAUCGAGAACAGCCCUAACCGGCUAUUCUUGCGAUAUUACGAAACUUAAGAACAACUCUUAACAACGGAUAUCUUGGCUCUC
rnacentral:misc_RNA from 1 species